rnacentral:lncRNA from 1 species
AGGAGAGUGAUGUGAUCGCAAUGGAGUUUCACAAUAUUACCCAAUGCCAAGUAUAACAAACAGGUUAAAGUGAGGGAAAAGACAAACAGUCAAGAAAAAUAUCAUGAGGACAAGAAAAGGCUAAUGGAUUUGGAAAAUCAGGCGCAGUGAUGAUCUUGCCAUGGCACUACCAGAGUGACAUGAAUGGAAACCAGGUCACAAAGGAAGGAGGAAUGGGUAGGUCAUGCCAAGGUGAAGAGCCUUCACAAUUCCAGGGAGACGCUGCCGAGUGGAGGGAAGGUUAGUAGGUUAUGGAACAGGUUCAAGGAAAGGUGUAUUUUCCUUCCCAACAGGUUAAAGACAGAAAGAAACAUGACAGUAGAGAAAAGAAAUAAAGGCGAUUAAAAAAAAAAAAAAAGCUGAGUGAUGGGGAGAGUGGUUAAGCAAGACGACCCUACCAAACAAUAGAUGGGUCAUUGAUACGUUGCAGAAGAAUAGCGUGUGGAGGAAAUAUUUGGUUUCAGUAGUUUAGCCCUAAGGAGUGAGGAAUUUGUUUGGUCAGACAUACUGAAGAUGAAGACUAUACUUCUGAGAAUAAGCCUAAAGCCUGUGAGUGUCAAAAGCCAAUCUGCUGAGCUUCACUGAACCCCAGAAGCCCAUGUGCCCCUUUUCACCAUUUCCCACAUUGAAACAACCACCAAGAAAAGGCAUUUAGUUGAUGGUAGCAGAAAAAUAAUACAGAAUUGGGACCACAGAGGAGCCAUAAGCUGGCUGCCCCUUCUGUCUCCGGAGAUGGGGAGGUAGAGUUUUCCAGGGAAGAACAGCUCCUGGUGCACAGGUGUUUGGGGGCCCUGGAGUGGCUUUCUUUGAAGCUGGUGUCCACUCACUCCCUCCAGAGCUUUGGCCAGCUGGCCCCAGAAAUCUUCCAGUGGCCCAUCAGAGAGCAAGCUGGCAGAGCUGUCACUCCCGCCAUGGAAUUCAGCCAAUCCGCUGAGGACCUCCCUCCUCACCCAGCUCAGCCCUGCCUGCUGCCCGAGUCCACUCCCAUCUGUGGAGCCUCCACUCAGGAGCCCAUGAAUCAGCUUCCACCCAAGCUCCACUCUGCAGCUCCAUGCAGCUCAAACUACCUGCUCAUGAACAACAACCUGAAGAUGUUUCUCCUGUCUCAGACUCGGCCAUCAAUGCCCAUUCUCCUCUGUCUGGUCUCACUUCUUGAGAUGUGUCUGCCACAGGAACUUGCUGGACCACAAGUAUGA